GAUGAAGAACGCAGCGAAAUGCGAUAAGUAAUGCGAAUUGCAGAAUUUCCGUGAGUCAUCGAAUCUUUGAACGCACAUUGCGCCCAUUGGUAUUCCGAUGGGCAUGCCUGUUCGAGCGUCAUUAUCUUCCCUCAAACCUCGCGUUUGGUGUUGGGCCGUGCUGGUUCCUGCGUGACCAACUGGCCUCAAAGACAAUGACGGCGUCCGUGGGACCCUCGAUGCAACGAGCUUCUCAGGAGCACGCGUCGAGUUUCAAGGACCUUCCGGGCCGGUCUCUCCCCAUGUUAUUACAAGGUUGACCUCGGAUCAGGUAGGGAUACCCGCUGAACUUAAGCAUAUCAAUAAGCGGAGGA
rnacentral:misc_RNA from 1 species